UUCAAACUUACUAAAUGGAUUAGUCAACUCAGCUGUGAAUUCAGAAUGGGCUGUCCUUUGGAAAACGUCUACUGUGAUUGGUAGAUGGAAGAACUUAGGGGAGGUGGUAUAGGAGAAAACCCCCUAUAUAAGAAAAAGAGAUCCCUUGAGAAGGAGCUCUUGAGAGACAGGCUCUAAGGAGGAUCUCUUGAGAAGAAUCUCUCUCUGGAGAAGGAUGGCUGGCUGAACUGGUAUCUAUAUUCUUGUUUGGACAGAUCUUGUGGAAUCUACCACUUAGCUUCAAAAGAGGGUUUUCUAACUUUCCUCACCUGGCAGACUGAAACGAGAGGGGCCUCAAGGACAUGGCUGGAAGAGGCCAGUUGAUGGCAGCUGUUCCUAAGUUCACUGCCAGAAGAAUGAAUGGAUUUAGAAGCACUCUUCAUUUAAUUGUCUUCACAACCCUCACCCUUUCCUCUAGUAAUCCUUUUUAUAGUUAUAUGACAUUUGCUAUUUUCCAAAGUGUUUCCAUACUCAUUAUUUAAUUUGAUUCUCAUGUUUAUUUUUUAAAUGAUACAAAUAUUAACUUUAUCCUCAUAAAAAUCCUGUACUGCAUAUAUUAUGAAUACCCCAAUUUUACAGAUGAGGAAAUUGAGGCAGGCAAAAGUUAAGUGACUUGUGCAAUCACACAGAUAAUAUGUGUCUGAGCUAGUAUUUGAACUCAGGUCUUCCUGACUCCAUUGGAAGGAUUCUCUCCAUUGCACUGGUAAAAACAUACAUUUGUUCAUUUAAAUCCCACCAGAAUCCUAUGAGUUUGAUAGUGCAAGUAUUUUUAGGAAAUAACUUGGCUAUGGUCACAUAGCCAGAAAGUAUCUUAGGUGGAUUUAAGGUCUGAUCUCACCUAAUUCCCAGGCCAGGAAGGCCUCUUUCUCCAAAACACACUUCUUUUCUCUUCCUCUCUCCUCUAAGACUCAUGCCUCUUCAAAGUUUCUAUUUCUGGUCAUGCAACUACCCUUCUCCUGAGCUCUAAAACUCCAGUUAUCUGAAUGCAGACCCAGAAAAGAGUCAAAGUCUAAAGCCAGGCUCCCCAAGUCCCCAUCUUCCUAUUCCAAAUCACCGAUGGACACUCCUUGUUCCCUUACUAUGGGUUUUAUGUCACCCAAUCAACUGGUUAAUUGGAUCAAAAUAAGUUAAAGGUUGAAAAUUAGUUCCAUGUGAAAUUGGAGACAUAUUUCAUGACAUGCCAGUGUCCCUCUUAAUGAUUAUUCUGCAUGGGAUACACCACACAGGAAGUCAUUCUCAGAACAGGAAUCAGGAAUUGGCUGUAUUCCUGGAGCAAAGCAGGUAGGGGGUGGCUUCCUGACAUUGGAGAGACUGAAUGGAGAACCCACCACAAACCUUUCAUGAUCAGCCAUUAAAUUGUAGACGAUUUCUGUGAGUUCCAUCAUGAGAUGCAUUUUCUUAAACCCAUCCCUGAAAUGUGCAAGUGGCUUACAUUACAUCCAUAAAGUCCCCUACCAUUUCACCAGCAUAUCAUGAAGAUGAAGCAGUCCCUUAUCCGGCUCCAUUGACACACAAAGGAAGGAAUUCUCUCCUUAGCCACUAGGUACACUUGUGCUGCAUAGAUAAGCUUGGGAUAUGUCUAGACUUUGGGAGCACAGGGUGGCUUGGAUACAGUGGGAACCUGAGAUCAUAAUCUAGUGGAAUAGUGGAUAGAGAACUCAUUCUUGAGUUAGGAAGAUUCAUUUCUGUGAGUUCAAAUCUGCCCUGAGAUAUGUCCUAGCUGUAUGACCUUGAACAAGUCACUUAACCUUGUUUGCCUCAGUUUCCUCAUCUGUAAAAUGAAUUAGAGAAGAAAAUGGAAAACUACUCCAGCAUCUCUGCUAAUAAAACUUCAGAUGGGGUCA
ensembl:lncRNA